rnacentral:rRNA from 1 species
UACAGACAGUGCGGGCGUUAUUCAGCUUGAAUGGGCGUAAAGGGUAUGUAGGCGGUUAAAGGAACUGAGCUAGAAAUGCUGGAGUCAUAACUGUAGCAGAUGGGCUUAAAGAUUAAUUAACUUUGAGUUAGUAUCGGGUCUGAGGAAUUUCUUGUGUCAACGGUAGAAUGUCGCCAUAUAAGAAGGACCACCGAAGGUGAAGACAUCUUUCCAGAACUAACUGACGCUGAGGUACGGAGGCAUGGGGAGCAAACAGG